rnacentral:tRNA from 1 species
CUUUUAAAGGAUAUUAGACAUCCAUUAGCCUUAGGAGUU